CUGACGUGUUAUAAGCUCUUGCACUAAUGGAAAACCAGUUAAUGCAAAAUGCAGCAGCUUAAACCAAAAAGGGGAGAGUCCGACUGUAGAGCUGGGGACAGCAACCACCUGAUGCUGAUCUGCUUGAGUAGGAAUGUGAGCUUUGGCUCUACUGUCCCUUCCCUCAAAGGCCGAAGAAAUGUUGAUAAAGAGGCACAAGAGCAGCAAGACAUCCUGAGGAUACGCUAGAAGACUGAGGUGAUGCCCUGAAGGCUGUUUCUCUUGGCCGUGGAAGCUUGACUGCAAUUUCUGUCUCUUUUGGGGUCACGGGCCACCAAGAAAACACAUUUCCCCAUUCAAAAAGGGCAGAUGUUAUUCCUUACCUCUUAUUUUUUUUCAACCACCUCCUUUAAUUCCUUCCAGAAAGAAAAAAAAUAAUCCGAGGUUUCUUGGAGAAAAGUGGAAGUUCUGCCAAGCUCCUCUGGGCAGUGUAGCGCCAAGGCCAUCCACAUAGCACCUCCAUGUUUGUGUCAAGACACAUGCUCCGCAUUCUCUACUUCCCUAAUGGCACAAACUCCUGUGGGAAGUUGGAAGAAAGAACUUGGUUGCCUGUGUUGUACAGGCACUAGAUUCAGUGACUAUUGUUGGUGUGCCUUUAGAUGGCAUUUUCACUGGA